rnacentral:rRNA from 1 species
GGCAUUGGUGCUGAGUUAAGCUCGUAGUUGACUUUAGGCAAGGCGACCUGGUCACCCACUGGGUGUACUGGGUUCGCCGCGCCUCACCUUCGGGGAACUAGUCGUGCUUCGGUGCGCUAGGGAACCGAGCCUUACUUUGAAGAAAUUAGAGUGUUUAAAGCAGGCUUACGCUUGAAUACGCCAGCAUGGAAUAACAAGAUAGGACUUUGGUUCUAUUUUGUUGGUUUGAGGACCAAAGUAAUGAUUAAUAGGGCCAGUCGGGGGCAUUAGUAUUCUAUAGUCAGAGGUGAAAUUCUUGGAUUUAUAGAAGACUAACUAAUGCGAAAGCAUUUGCCAAGGAUGUUUUCAUUAAUCAAGAACGAAAGUUAGGGGAUCGAAGACGAUUAGAUACCGUCGUAGUCUUAACCAUAAACUAUGCCGACUAGGGAUCGGUGGAUGUCGCUUUUGACUCCAUCGGCACCUUACGAGAAAUCAAAGUUUUUGGGUUCUGGGGGGAGUAUGGUCGCAAGGCUGAAACUUAAAGGAAUUGACGGAAGGGCACCACCAGGAGUGGAGCCUGCGGCUUAAUUUGGCUCAACACGGGAAAACUCACCAGGUCCGGACAUGGGAAGGAUUGACAGAUUGAGAGCUCUUUCUUGAUUCUAUGGGUGGUGGUGCAUGGCCGUUCUUAGUUGGUCGAGUGAUUUGUCUGGUUAAUUCCGAUAACGAACGAGACCUUAACCUGCUAAAUAGAACUGCGAACCUGCGUUCGUAGGCUCUUCUUAGAGGGACUGACUACGUUUAGUGGUCGGAAGUUUGAGGCAAUAACAGGUCUGUGAUGCCCUUAGAUGUUCUGGGCUGCACGCGCGCUACACUGACAGAGGCAGCGAGUAUACAACCUUGACCGGAAGGUCUGGGCAAUCUUAUGAAACUCUGUCGUGCUGGGGAUAGAGCAUUGCAAUUAUUGCUCUUCAACGAGGAAUUCCUAGUAAGCGCAUGUCAUCAGCAUGCGUUGAUUACGUCCCUGCCCUUUGUGCACACCGCCCGUCGCUACUACCGAUUGAAUGGCUUAGUGAGGCCUCCGGAUUGAGGUUGGUGGCCGAAAGGCUGCCUCGCUUUGAAAAGUUGGUCAAACUUGGUCAUUUAGAGGAAGUAAAAGUCGUAACAAGG